rnacentral:lncRNA from 1 species
GGAGAGGCAACCCGGCUCAGCUCCUCCUCGGUCCCCGCGCCAGCUUGGCGAUUCACCGCCGAAGGAGCAGGGCGCUUCUACCGCUUCCACCGAAGCAGGAAGGACGGAAGGGGAAGCCAGACAGAAAGGGAGCUGGCUGCCAAUAUAAAGUCUGUCUUCCGCUCUGCCCGCCUAUACGAAAUGCUCCCAGAGACAAUGUGAGAAGGCCUGCAAUUUUCUGUGCUUCUGGCAAUGGAAAGGAGAAGUAGAUAAGGAAAGAUCCCCCUCCAGAUGAUGAAUGCUACCCGAGCUCAUAUCGGUGAAGGGAACCUGUGCUAUUCGGUCGAAUGCAACCGCCCUUGCAAGACGUGGCUUGUCAGCGCUACUCAUCGAAGUGUAAACCCAUCUCUGAAGACCUGGCAGGCAGAAGUACUCUCCCCACCCCAACCCCACCCACGGACUUUGCAGCAUCAGUCCAUUUGUACACUCGGAUCUCUAAGGAAAACAGCAUCAUCGACGUGAAUGACAGCUGCAGCGGGAGCCGGGGAGCGGGCGGUCAGAUGCUCCGCCGGGGCUGUCCACUCCGCGGGCACUGAAAACGUCAGGGAAGGUCUCUCUUGGAGCCAACGCGGACUUGACAAAACAGUUGACAAUUAGGGCAAAGCACGUACGGCAGAAUCAUUAGAACCCACAGAAGCCCCGGCCCCAGCGGCGACACCGCGGCGUGGCGAUGCCCCCGUGGCUUCGGAAAUACCCGCUAUCCCUUUAAAAAGUACCCCCCGCAGGCCGGAAGUGACCGCUCGGCGCCACGAGUCGAGCCCCUCGGUGCAGCACGGCCUCGAGCCUCGCGCACGUCCGCGGUCCCGUGGGUUUCCUGCUCUUGCUGCAGUUCUCCGCCGCCAGUCCUCUCCGCGCGGGCAGUUCGGUCACUAAAUCUCAGAGACCCGGCGCCUCCCCCAAGCUCCAGCCUACGCCAGGCCUGCUUCCGGGUUCGGCCUGCGCUCCCGGCCCGCUCUAGUGACGCACUUCCGGUGGUGACCAGGCUUGGCUCCGCCCCAAGCUGACACGCGGGCUGAUCGGGUUCCCAGCCGUGCACUGUGCUGGGAGGACAGCGAAUUCCUGCACCGGGGACCAACUGCUCCGCCACGGCUCGGUCUCUGGGGUUUCUUACCGUCCUGGGCGGAAAUGGAUAGAAUCCGCCAGACCACACGACCCGGGGCCUAACUCUCCAGCCCUGUGACCGCGGCCGUCUGUGUCAAGCUCUCCCUUGGCUCUGCCCAGGGCCCUUGUCGCUUGGCGCUGGGACCUUCAGAAGUUGAAAGGGUUUGCCAGAGGCAUCUCAACCACCCUUUCUUAGACUGGCUUUGAAAUGGUGUCACCCACCCUCUUGGACUGAAUAUCUCAGGUCAUCUUAGGGUUUCCUCCCGGAAUUACUUAGUUUUACACAUUCUGGUUCAUCCUCUUCUCAAAGGUUGUUUUUUGGAUCGAGAAGUUCAGGCAGAAAGCGUUCACUUUCAGUUUUUCCUUGUAUCUCUCACGAUGCUGUAUGACUUGACCUCAUAAUCUGGUGUCUGGUUAAGUAUAAAACUAUUCUUUACUUCUCACCCCUCCACAGGGCUGUUUGGAUUGUUUCUUUUGUAAUAACGUAUUAUACCGUUUAGAAAACACAGGAAACACAGCUUGGGCGAGUUGGGUGUUUCCUGCUGAAAAUUGUGAAUAUAACGUUUCAUG